GAUAGUUUCAGUUUCUCAGUACUUCACCCUCAUCAAAGGUUACAGGAAUUUUCAACAUUUGCUCACUUGGGGAAAUCCAGAAAGCCUCACAGGAUUGCAGGAGGAAAUGAAAAUUAAAAAAUAAACGCAAAGCCCAUCCACCUGUGCUGAAGAGCAAGAGCAGUAAGAAGAGGCACUUGAUCUUGCUAGGGACACAGUUAAAUGACUAUGGUCAGGAUGGAGCAGAGCUACUACUGAAAGGGCUGACUGUGGCUGAUUUUCGAGAGGGGACACAGAAAGUGAUGCAUGGUGAAGAGCCACCACCUUGGUGAAGGACAAAGAGAGAAAAUGCUGUGUUGAGUUUUCUAGGUUGUAUUCAUUUCAUCACUGAUCGAAUGAUUGACAGCAACAAUAAGAGGAAGGAUUUAAUUGGCUCAAAGUUCAAGGGAUAUCAGUCCAUUAUGAAGGUGAAACAGGAAUCUAUGGCUAUGUGUGUAGUGGAAGGAACUUUGGCCUGUUCAUGACAACCCAGAAGCAAAGAGCAGAGGGCCAAGAGCAAGGCUGAAGAUGCUCUGCUCAAGUUUUUGCAGUCCAAGGAGAAUGUGACUGACACAAUUCUACAGGGAUCCACAAAGGAACAAGCUGGACUACUAGAGGAGGGAUUCCAGCAGGAAAUAAAAAAAAACUUGAGGAUGAAAAGAAGUAUCUCCGGAAAGGAAACUGAACCACAGAUGGCAUUGUAAGCUAAGGGUCUAAGAAUAACGCCAUUCUGCCACUCAAACAGAGCUGAACAGGGUCACAUCAAUUGAUAAUGAUUGGGUCCUCCAUCAGAAAACUAAAAAUCUGGAAAGAUGUGCAGUGUGAUCAUUGAAAUCCUGUUUAUCUUCUUAUAAGAUUGUGCUCCAAGAAUAUCAUUGACAUCUCUACCACAAGAGAGGCGUCAACAGGGCUACUCAGAAGAAAGUCCCUUUUCCAGAUAAUCACCAGGAGACAAAUAGACACUGAUCACAGUCUGUUUUAAAAAAUAAUUUAUUUAUUUUUAUUGUUUUAUGUGUGUCAGUGUUUUGCCUGCAUGUAUGUCCAUGUGGGGGUGACAGACCUUGGAGUUAUAGACAGUCAUGAGCUGCCAUAUGGGUGCUGGGAUUUGAACCCAGGUUCUCUGGAAGAGCAGUGCUCUUUAACCUCUGAGAUAUUUCUUCAGCCCCAUACUGAGCACAUUCUUAAAUGGUGGCACACAAUUAGGAACCAAGUUGUCCAGGGAUGUGAUGGCUCUGAAAGACAGGGAAAGCCAGCCUCAUUUGUUUUGGAGACAAUAUAAAGUUCUGGAUUAUAUCAAAAGUGCUCAACCUUUCAGCAAUGGCAUGAUUUGUGGACACUGGCAAUGAGCAACCCUAUCAAUACACUCCAUCAUAAAUCAAGACAGCUGCAUGGAGAUCUAGAGUACCCAUAUACAAUAUCCACAGGAAGAUGGAAGAAGCCAUUAGCAUGGCAAGGAACUGCUCCACUGUUGAAGAAGGAAAUAUUCCAGUUCAUAUGGAUGGAAACUGUAACAGGACAUUUCCAAACUCUAAGGGUUGACACGGACUACAUAGUAAUACGAUGACAACUAAGCACAAUGUAUAGCUUAUGUACUUAUGUAUAAACUAUACAUAAGUAUGUGUUAUGUAUACUUCAUAUAUAAAAAUACAUAACUUUAAAAGGGCUUUAAAUGGUGCUGGGUAACCUAUAGAUAUCAAAGGAAUUUUAAUUAUUUAUCUUUAAUUAUAAACUUACACUACUCUUUGUCCUAUUAUUAGCAACUAUACUUGAAAUCCUGUUGAUUUUCCCCAAGCAUAAUAAAGAUUCUUCUCUGUAUUUUGACCAGCUCUCAUUUCAUGGAGAUUAGAUAAACUAUAUUCCAACUGCCUAAAAUGUAAAGUAGGUGGUGAACAUCUUUUAAAGGGACUGGGGACUUUUUGAGGGGGUGUGGCUCAGUGAAGUGCUUACAGUGUAAACAUGAGGACAUAAUUCAGAUCGCAGAACCCAUGUAACAAACCAGACAUAGGGGUACAUACCUGUAAGCCUAGCAUGGAAGUUGGGGCAGGGGUAAACAGGAUAAUCAUUCGUGCUUACAAGCCACCCAGUCUAGCCAAAACCUGGUCUCUGAAUUCUCUGAGAGACCCCAUCUCAAAAAUAAGGUGGAAAGUAUUUGAAAACAGUUGUGCUGUUUGCUGGAAGUGAAUGAGACUGGAAAUAAUCACAUUAAGCAAGUUAAAACAGUCUCAGAAAGACAGAUGUAUAUUUUCUUUAGUACAUACCUCCUAGACUGCAUACAGACACAUAACAUUACCUAUGUAUAUAUGACAUGAAAGUCAAAGUGAAACUCUGUAGGGAAACAAAGAAGACUAGUGGAAUCAGGAAGCAUGAAGAAUAAAGGGUACAGGGUAUCUUAACAUGCAAGAUAUACUUAUAUGAAAAUAUCCUCCUAUAGCAUCUUACAUCUGUCAGAAUGGCUGAAAUCAAAAACACUAAUGACAGCCUAUGUUGGAGAGAAUGGAGAGUAAAGGGAACACUGCUGGUGAGAGUGCAAACUUGUACAGCCAUUUUGGA
ensembl:lncRNA